AUGGGUAUUGCACAAAGAACAUAUUUCACCUGGGUUAUCCUACCACUCUUGGGCAUGUUCGCUCCCUUCCAUCUUGGUAGGCGCGUCGCCAGUUGGUCCACAACUCCCGAGAGCUGCGCAGCUGUUUUCUUCCUAAUUGUCAGUGGAAGACCAAGAUAUCUGCAUGGGAAUGUUCCUGUCGGGCAUCUUAAGCUCUGUGACACUUGUACCAUUUGGUUGGCGGUGCACCGGAUUGGUAAGGCUGUGCACUUCUCAAGGUUGACAUGCAGGCCUGAGGCCUCUCCAAAGAGAUGUAGAAUGGCCACACAAGCUAGAAGGUCAUGUGCACUUGGCUUGAGGAACACCAUAACAUCAUCCGCAAUCAUGGAAAUCUAUUGCGAGCAUCCAGCAGGCGCGAGUGGUGACAUAAUGUCUUUGAUGACUGCAAGGGCUCCAUUAUGA
rnacentral:rRNA from 1 species